CACCGUUUCAGUGGCAUUUAAAUCCCCGGCGCUCCUCUGUCUAGGUGACGCGCAGCAGCCCCCCCAGGCAGCCCAGGCGACGGCAGCAGCUGCAGCGGCUGCAACGACAGAUUCCGAGCGCUGGG
rnacentral:lncRNA from 1 species